GGAGGAACAUGUGGCUUAAUUCGAUGAUACGCGAGGAACCUUACCCGGGCUCGAACGGCAGGUGGAGAGAUACAGAGAUGUUGACGCCCUUCGGGGCACUUGUCGAGGUGCUGCAUGGUUGUCGUCAGCUCGUGCCGUGAGGUGUCGGCUCAAGUGCCAUAACGAGCGCAACCCUUGCCGCCAGUUACCAGCACGUUGUGGUGGGGACUCUGGCGGGACUGCCACCGCAAGGUGUGAGGAAGGGGGGGAUGACGUCAAAUCAGCACGGCCCUUACGUCCGGGGCGACACACGUGUUACAAUGGGGGUUACAGCGGGGGUCUACCUGGUGACAGGAUGGGAAUCUCGAAAAGCCUCCUCAGUUCGGAUCGGAGUCUGCAACUCGACUCCGUGAAGCUGGAUUCGCUAGUAAUCGCGCAUCAGCCAUGGCGCGGUGAAUACGUUCCCGGGCCUUGUACACACCGCCCGUCAAGCCAUGAAAGUCCGGGGCGCCUGAAGUCCGUGACCGAGAGGAGCGGCCUAGGGCGAAACGGGUAAUUGGGGCUAAGUCGUAACAAGGUAACCGUA
rnacentral:rRNA from 1 species